AUGCCCCGUCUCCAUUCAUUCUUAGAGCUGAACUUUAAAAAGUCUCUGCCAAAACCGAAGCGCCAUCGCUGUACCCUCCUCCACCUCCCGCGGAACAUCCUGUCAUCCACUUGUACUCAACCCUCUCCUCGUCCCACCUUCCCCCUCGUCGCGCCCACAGGAAGGCAGGGCCGGAGCCGCACGUACCUCGCGCCGCAGGCCCGGGCAGGGGGGCGAGCCGGGGAGCCCGCGCGCUGCUCACAGAGAGCCUCCUCCGUCGUGCGGCCAAGGGCCCGGACAGUGGCCGGGCAGGAGCCGGCGGCAGAGCGCGGCCCCGGCGGGGUGUUUCCAGGCCGGCUUCCAGCACGCGGCCGCGGGGUCUCGGAGGCCCCCGGAAGCCCUGGUCUCUCUCCCGGGGAGUCCCUGCCGCCGCGCCGCGCGCCCCGCACGUGCCGGCAGCUGCAGGCGCCCGACGGCCCCGCCCGCCUCUCGACUUGCGCGUGCGCAGUCGCUCCUCGGAGCCGGCGGGCGCCGGAGCCGCUCGAGGCCUGUGGGGGCGGAGCUGCUUCCGCUCAGGCGGGCGUCCCCGGGCCUGGAGCUGGUCCCGCGGAGCCUGCAGCCGCGCUCGCCUUCGACGUGCGGGAGGAAGCAAGCUCGAAGCCGGCGCUUUCCCGCCUGCGGCCGGAAGCCUCUGCCUGGACGCAGACUUGUGGUCGGUGCGGCCGCGGGCCUAGCCGUGGGGCUCACGUGCUGUUGCACACCCCGGCGCUCUCGCAGUGGGCGGCCGCGCGGGGAGAGCUCGCCGUCCGGGGGUCUCCCUGCCAGGCUCGGACAGAGGCCCCGGAGAACAGGAGGAAAGGCUGGAGAACUUGCUGCCCCCACCUGCCGGGCCCCAGGGGAAGGCGCCGUCCAGCCUGGCAGGCGGGGGGCGGAGGCCGGGGGUCACCCCAGCGCCGCGGGGCGGCUGUGCAGGCGCCCAAGUCCCGGAGGAGCCUGCAGCAGCAGCCUAGGAGAAGCUUUCUCAGCUGA
rnacentral:lncRNA from 1 species